UACGAAGGGGGCUAGCGUUGUUCGGAAUUACUGGGCGUAAAGCGCACGUAGGCGGACUAUUAAGUCAGGGGUGAAAUCCCGGGGCUCAACCCCGGAACUGCCUCUGAUACAGCAAGUCUUGAGUCCGGAAGAGGUGGGUGGAAUUCCUAGUGUAGAGGUGAAAUUCGUAGAUAUUAGGAAGAACACCAGUGGCGAAGGCGGCCCACUGGUCCGGUACUGACGCUGAGGUGCGAAAGCGUGGGGAGCAAACAGG
rnacentral:rRNA from 1 species